UUGGACCUGAUAUCAGGCAAGAUUACCCGCUAAACGAAUCAGAG
rnacentral:rRNA from 1 species